rnacentral:rRNA from 1 species
GUGAACGCUGGCGGUAGGCCUAACACAUGCAAGUCGAACGGCAGCACAGUAAGAGCUUGCUCUUACGGGUGGCGAGUGGCGGACGGGUGAGGAAUACAUCGGAAUCUACUUUUUCGUGGGGGAUAACGUAGGGAAACUUACGCUAAUACCGCAUACGACCUACGGGUGAAAGCAGGUGAUCUUCGGACCUUGCGCGAUUGAAUGAGCCGAUGUCGGAUUAGCUAGUUGGCGGGGUAAGGGCCCACCAAGGCGACGAUCCGUAGCUGGUCUGAGAGGAUGAUCAGCCACACUGGAACUGAGACACGGUCCAGACUCCUACGGGAGGCAGCAGUGGGGAAUAUUGGACAAUGGGCGCAAGCCUGAUCCAGCCAUACCGCGUGGGUGAAGAAGGCCUUCGGGUUGUAAAGCCCUUUUGUUGGGAAAGAAAAGCAGCAGGUUAAUACCCCGCUGUUCUGACGGUACCCAAAGAAUAAGCACCGGCUAACUUCGUG